UAGGGAAUCUUCGGCAAUGGACGAAAGUCUGAUCGAGCAACGCCGCGUGAGUGAAGAAGGUUUUCGGAUCGUAAAACUCUUUUGUUAGAGAAGAACAAGGACGUUAGUAACUGAACGUCCCCUGACGGUAUCUAACCAGAAAGCCACGGCUAACUACGGGCCAGCAGCCGCGGUAAUACGUAGGUGGCAAGCGUUGUCCGGAUUUAUUGGGCGUAAAGCGAGCGCAGGCGGUUUCUUAAGUCUGAUGUGAAAGCCCCCGGCUCAACCGGGGAGGGUCAUUGGAAACUGGGAGACUUGAGUGCAGAAGAGGAGAGUGGAAUUCCAUGUGUAGCGGUGAAAUGCGUAGAUAUAUGGAGGAACACCAGUGGCGAAGGCGGCUCUCUGGUCUGUUACUGACGCUGAGGCUCGAAAGCGUGGGGAGCAAACAGG
rnacentral:rRNA from 1 species